rnacentral:rRNA from 1 species
GAUGAACGCUAGCGGGAGGCCUAACACAUGCAAGCCGAGCGGUAGAGAUUCUUCGGAAUCUUGAGAGCGGCGUACGGGUGCGGAACACGUGUGCAACCUACCUUUAUCUGGAGGAUAGCCUUUCGAAAGGAAGAUUAAUACUCUAUAAUAUAUUAAUUGGCAUCAAUUGAUAUUGAAAACUCCGGUGGAUAGAGAUGGGCACGCGCAAGAUUAGCUAGUUGGUGAGGUAACGGCUCACCAAGGCAAUGAUCUUUAGGGGGCCUGAGAGGGUGGUCCCCCACACUGGUACUGAGACACGGACCAGACUCCUACGGGAGGCAGCAGUGAGGAAUAUUGGUCAAUGGGUGCAAGCCUGAACCAGCCAUCCCGCGUGAAGGAUUAAGGUCCUAUGGAUUGUAAACUUCUUUUGUAUAGGGAUAAACCUACCCUCGUGAGGGUAGCUGAAGGUACUAUACGAAUAAGCACCGGCUAACUCCGUGCCAGCCGCCGCAGUAAAAC